UACGUAGGGGGCAAGCGUUGUCCGGAAUUAUUGGGCGUAAAGAGCGCGUAGGCGGUCCGGUAAGUCGGUUGUGAAAGUCGGGGGCUCAACCCUCGAAUGCCGGUGGAUACUGUCGGGCUAGAGUGCGGAAGAGGCGAGUGGAAUUCCUGGUGUAGCGGUGAAAUGCGCAGAUAUCAGGAGGAACACCGAUUGCGAAGGCAGCUCGCUGGGACGUCACUGACGCUGAGACGCGAAAGCGUGGGGAGCAAACAGG
rnacentral:rRNA from 1 species